AGACACUGAAAUCACAAAGGAAGAGGCCAAAUGCCUUAGCAAUUUCAAUAAAAAUAUGAAAAUCUUUUUACAUGGUAAAUUUCAUAAUAUAAAAAGUUUAAUGCUGUCUGGAAACAGAGUUUUAAUUUACAAAAAAAGUCCGUACAGGCCAAACAUGGCUAACACUGCAUACAAGGAGAGCAAGUGCGAGGGGCUGCUGCUUGGAUGAGUCUCUGCGGACAGUCCUGUUUGC